rnacentral:tRNA from 1 species
GGGCGCGUAGCUCAGAUGGUUAGAGCGCACGCCUGAUAAGCGUGAGGUCGGUGGUUCGAUUCCACUCGUGGCCCA